UGGGUGGGUGACGGUACCUGCAGAAGAAGCGCCGGCUAACUACGUGCCAGCAGCCGCGGUAAUACGUAGGGCGCAAGCGUUAUCCGGAAUUAUUGGGCGUAAAGAGCUCGUAGGCGGUUUGUCGCGUCUGCCGUGAAAGUCCGGGGCUUAACUCCGGAUCUGCGGUGGGUACGGGCAGACUAGAGUGCAGUAGGGGAGACUGGAAUUCCUGGUGUAGCGGUGAAAUGCGCAGAUAUCAGGAGGAACACCGAUGGCGAAGGCAGGUCUCUGGGCUGUAACUGACGCUGAGGAGCGAAAGCAUGGGGAGCGAACAGGAUUAGAUACCCUGGUAGUCCAUGCCGUAAACGUUGGGCACUAGG
rnacentral:rRNA from 1 species